rnacentral:rRNA from 1 species
UAACUUAGGGAGAAGGGGUGCCUACGAGAGUAGGCCGCAGUGAAUAGGCUCAAGCAACUGUUUAUCAAAAACACAGGUCUCUGCUAAAGCGUAAGCUGAUGUAUAGGGGCUGACGCCUGCCCGGUGCUGGAAGGUUAAGGGGAAUAGUUAGCGCAAGCGAAGCUAUGAACUUAAGCCCCAGUAAACGGCGGCCGUAACUAUAACGGUCCUAAGGUAGCGAAAUUCCUUGUCGGGUAAGUUCCGACCCGCACGAAUGGCGUAAUGAUUUGAGCACUGUCUCGGCAAUAAAUCCGGUGAAAUUGUAGUGCAAGUGAAGAUGCUUGCUACCCGCGGUUGGACGGAAAGACCCCGUAGAGCUUUACUGUAGCUUAGCAUUGAAUUUCGGUAUUGUCUGUACAGGAUAGGUGGGAGACUUAGAAGCGAGGGCGUCAGCUUUCGUGGAGUCGUCCUUGGGAUACCACCCUGACAGUACUGGAAUUCUAACUGGAGGCCAUGAAUCUGGUCACAGGACAUUGCUAGGUGGGCAGUUUGACUGGGGCGGUCGCCUCCUAAAAGGUAACGGAGGCGCCCAAAGGGUCCCUCAGCGCGGUCGGAAAUCGCGCGUAGAGUGCAAAGGCAGAAGGGAGCCUGACUGCGACACAUACAGGUGGAGCAGGGACGAAAGUCGGGCUUAGUGAUCCGGUGGUUCUGUAUGGAAGGGCCAUCGCUCAACGGAUAAAAGCUACCUCGGGGAUAACAGGCUGAUCUCCCCCAAGAGUCCAC